rnacentral:misc_RNA from 1 species
CAACCCCUCCGGGCCCAGCGCCCGGGUGUCGGGGCUCUCCCCCCGCGGGAGGCCCCUAGAGAAAUUGGCGGACCCGCCGCGGCUCCGAGCGCAGUAGUAAAAUUCUCGCUUUGGACGUCCGCGGGGGAGCUCCGGCCGUAAAACCCUCGGCGCGAGCCGUGACUCUCAA